UUUAGCCAUGCUAGUUGUACGAGUUGAGACUCGUAGCGUAUAGCUCAGUAACACGUGGCCAAACUACCCUACAGACCGCAAUAACCUCGGGAAACUGAGGCCAAUGGCGGAUACAGCUUCCACGCUGGAACUGCAGGAAGCUGGAAAUGCGCCAGCGCUGUAGGAUGUGGCUGCGGCCGAUUAGGUAGACGGUGGGGUAACGGCCCACCGUGCCAAUAAUCGGUACGGGUCGUGAGAGCGAGAGCCCGGAGACGGUAUCUGAGACAAGAUACCGGGCCCUACGGGGCGCAGCAGGCGCGAAACCUUUACACUGCACGGAAGUGCGAUAGGGGAAUCCCAAGUGCGAGGGCAUAUUAGCCCUCGCUUUUCUCGACUGUAAGGUGGUCGACGAAUAAGAGCUGGGCAAGACCGGUGCCAGCCGCCGCGGUAAUACCGGCAGCUCAAGUGAUGUCCCAUAUUAUUGGGCCUAAAGCGUCCGUAGCUGGCCGACCAAGUCUACCGGGAAAUCCACCCGCCCAACGGGUGGGCGUCCGGUAGAAACUGGCCGGCUUGGAACCGGAAGGCUCAGAGAGUACGUCCGGGGUAGGAGUGAAAUCCCGUAAUCCGGGACGGACUACCGAUGGCGAAAGCACUCUGAGAAGACGGCUUCGACAGUGAGGGACGAAAGCUCGGGUCUCAAACCGGAUUAGAUACCCGGGUAGUC
rnacentral:rRNA from 1 species